CUCUGUGCUAUCAGGGAGGCAGGCUGUGGAGAGGAGAGGCUGGAUGUGGUCAACACUGGAAAGAAGCUUUCAGGGAGACAACGCCAGGACCCUGCAGGAGAGGUGAGAACACAGAGACUCAAAGAAGUCAGCCAACUUUCCCAAGGCCUGAGUGCCCUAAGUGACUGAUCAAAGAUUGGAGACAAGCCGAGCUCCUUGCUACCUGGCCAAGGAGAAAUCAUGGAGCAGACUGGUUUUCAUACUGUGGGUUGUAAACAAUUUAUGGGUCAUGAAGAGUAUUCAGAGGUUA
ensembl:lncRNA